ACGAACUAGCAUUGCUGCAUGCAAAAUGGCGUGACCCCAAACCGAAGUGGGCAGCCGAUGGACUAGCAUUGCCGCAUGCAAAAUGGCGUGACCCCAAACCGAAGUGGGCAGCCAACGAACUAGCAUUGCUACAUGCAAAAUGGCGUGACCCCAAACCGAAGUGGGCAGCCUCGUUUUCAUGAGUAAAUGAGGUAUUCAAGAUUAU
rnacentral:lncRNA from 1 species